GGACUACGGGGGUAUCUAAUCCGGUUCGUGCCCCUAGCUUUCGUCCCUUGCCGUCAGGUCCGUUCUGGUGAGACGCCUUCGCCACUGGUGGUCCUUCAAGGAUUACAAGAUUUCACCCCUACCCCUGAAGUACCUCUCACCUCUCCCGGCCUCGAGCCAGACAGUAUCUCCUGAAAGCCUGACAGUUAAGCUGCCAGAUUUCUCAAGAGACUUAUCCGGCCGGCUACAGACCCUUUAGACCCAAUAAUAACGGUUACCACUCGAGCCGCCGGUGUUACCGCGGCGGCUGGCACCGGUCUUGCCCGGCCCUUGCUAUGAAAUGCUUUUUAGGCAUCUCGACAGCCAGAUUUGUAACCUGGCACUCGAGGUUCCCUUAUCGCUGUUGCCAGCAUUGUAAAGUUUUCGCGCCUGCUGCCCCCCAUAGG
rnacentral:rRNA from 1 species